rnacentral:lncRNA from 1 species
CUAAGUUCGGUUAGGGAAUUUUGAAAUUUUGGUUUUGGUUUCUAGGAAAACUGAAGGAACUUAAUGGAAGUGCACCUGAAGAGAAGAAGCUAACUGAAGAUGACUUGGUACUUCUGGAAAAGAUACUGUCCCUGAUUUGUGGUAAUGCUUCAGAAAAGCCGACGGCCCAGCAGCUUCAGGUUCUGUGGAAAGCCAUCAACUGGCCUGAAGACAUUGUCUUUCCCGCACUUGACAUUCUUCGGCUAUCAAUUAAGCAUCCCAGUGUGAAUGAGAAUUUCUGCAAUGAAAAAGAAGGAGACCAGUUCAGCAGCCACCUUAUCAACCUUCUGAACCCUAAAGGAAAGCCAGCAAACCAGCUGCUUGCUCUUAGGACUUUUUGCAAUUGCUUUGUUAGUCAGGCAGGACAAAAGCUCAUGAUGUCCCAGAGGGAGUCAUUGAUGUCACAUGCAAUAGAACUGAAAUCCGGGAGCAAUAAGAACAUUCAUAUUGCUCUGGCUACACUGACCUUGAACUAUUCUGUUUGUUUCCAUAAAGACCAUAACAUUGAAGGGAAAGCCCAAUGCUUGUCAGUGAUUAGCACAAUCUUGGAAGUUGUACAAGACCUAGAAGCCACAUUUAGACUCCUUGUGGCUCUUGGGACACUUAUCAGUGAUGAUUCAAAUGCUAUACAAUUAGCCAAAUCUUUAGGUGUUGAUUCUCAAAUAAAAAAGUAUGCUUCUGUAUCAGAGCCAGCUAAAGUAAGUGAAUGCUGUAGACUUAUCUUAAAUUUGCUGUAGCAGUGGGGAAAGGAAGCUGAGGGGUUUGGUUUUUUUUGUUUUGUUUUUUUCCCCACAUUUUACAUGACUGAUUGUAGAUAUUUAAAAAGAAAGAAAGAAAGAAAAGAAAACUGGAUUAAGUUCAGAUAUUAUAAAGUUGUGUUGAGGAGAUACAAAUUAUAAAUAAAGUUUUUGCACUGAUGGUUGUGAGGUUUUCCUGUGUAAUGGAGUAGAUUUUCAAGGAUGUAGAAACAUUAAAACUAUAAUCAAUAACAGCACAAUUACAACAGCAUUUUCUUCCUCACCUUAACCACUCAGGAGAACACAGAGGUUGUAUGACCUGUUUCUGUUUCGAUAUGAUACCUUGUCCAUUUGACUGUUCUCUUUUGUACAUUAGCUUCUCCACUUUUACUGCUGUAUUCUUUCAAUAGCACUGAUACAUUUCAAGGUCUUCUUUUAGGAUUUACUUGAAAAAUAAUUUUGUUU